CGCCGUAAACUUAAGGUUUCUUUGUUAAGGAUCGACCUACAAAGGUUAAUCAGUCCCUAAGAUUUUUCUGAGAUGAUUUUCGAUGGGUUAAGGGGUUUAUAAUCCUGUAUUAAAUAAUCGUAUUUAAGUAGCGUUUAUUUUCAAACUGUACUAAAUCCGACACCGGUGAGUUGGCAUAAGUGUGCCAAGGCGUUCGAGUUAAUGAUGCUGAAGGAACUCGGCAAAAUUUCUCCGUAACUUCGGGAUAAGGAGGGCCAACUAGAUAAUUAAGUUGGUAUCAUGAAAUCGGGAGUAGCGACUGUUUAUUAAAAACACAGGACUCUGCAAAAUCGAAAGAUUAGGUAAAGGGUCUGAAGCCUGCCCAGUGCCGGUAAGUUAAAAAAUUUGGUUUUUUGCUAAAUUUAUAAGCUUCGGUAAACGGCAGCUGUAACUCUGACGGUUCUAAGGUAGCGAAAUCCCUUGUCGGGUAAGUUCCGACCUGCAUGAACGGUAUAACGACUGCUCCGCUGUCUCCAGCAUUACCUCGGUGAAUUUGAAUUCUUCGUGCAGAUGCGAAGUUUUGGCAGCAAGACGGGAAGACCCUGUGCACCUUUACUGCAAUUUUGUAUUGUUGGUUAGUUCGAAUUUCGUAGAAUAGAAAUUAGCUUAUGAUUAUUCUGCUCAGGCAGAUUUUUGAAGCUCCUUUGAAAUAAUUUUAUUUUCCUGCUUAUCAACUAAUUUUAAAUAGACCAUACAUGAGUGGUAGUUUGGCUGGGGUGGCCGCCUCCCAAAGUGUACCGGAGGUGUGCAAAGGUAAACUUUCGUUAAUUUUUAACGAAUAAGCAUAACGGCAAUGUUUGCUUGACUUUUAAACGGAUAGGUUUGGAAGAGACAUUUUUUGUCGGUCGUAGUGAUCCGGUGGUUUUUCGUGGACAAGCCAUCGCUUAACGGAUAAAAGGUACGCCAGGGAUAACAGGCUAAUGAUUCUUUAGAGCUCUUAUCGACGGAAUCGUUUGGCACCUCGAUGUCGGCCCAUCGCAUCCUGGGGCUGAAGGCGGUCCCAAGGGUUCGGCUGUUCGCCGAUUAAAGCGGUACGCGAGCUGGGUUUAGAACGUCGUGAGACAGUUCGGUUCCUAUCUACUGCUUUUUUUAUUAAAUAGAUUCCUUCCUUAGUACGAGAGGAUCGGGUAAGGGUAUGCCUAUUGUGUAUCAAUUGUAGUUUGCACGGUUGAAAAGCUACGCAUAAUUUUGUAAUUGCUGAAUUCAUAUAAGCAAGAACUUUCCUAUUUAAUAAAUUUCAUUUAGCUAAAUCAGCUAAACGGGCAAAAGUGUAUUUUUUGUAAAAAAUUUAGCUUUAGUUCGCGUGA
rnacentral:ncRNA from 1 species